UAUUGCACAAUGGGCGAAAGCCUGAUGCAGCGACGCCGCGUGAGUGAAGAAGUAUCUCGGUAUGUAAAGCACUAUCAGUAGGGAAGAAAAUGACGGUACCUGACUAAGAAGCCCCGGCUAACUACGUGCCUGACGCCGCGGUAAUACGUAGGGGGCAAGCGUUAUCCGGAUUUACUGGGUGUAAAGGGAGCGUAGACGGCGACGGAAGUCUGGAGUGAAAGCCCGGGGCCCAACCCCGGGACUGCUUUGGAAACUGUGCUGCUGGAGUGCAGGAGAGGUAAGUGGAAUUCCUAGUGUAGCGGUGAAAUGCGUAGAUAUUAGGAGGAACACCAGUGGCGAAGGCGGCUUACUGGACUGUAACUGACGCUGAGGUUCGAAAGCGUGGGUAGCAAACAG
rnacentral:rRNA from 1 species